rnacentral:tRNA from 1 species
ACCUGGGUGGCUCAGUCGGUUAAGCGUCCGACUUUGGCUCAGGUCAUGAUCUCACGGUUCGUGGGUUCGAGCCCCACAUCAGGCU